AUCUUUCGUACGAUAAGAACGGAACUUGAAAAGCUUAACUUGAAAGCGUAUUCUUAAAGUUGCGCAGCAAAGGUAAUAAGGAACUAAAGCAUGUAAGAAGGUUUGCAGUAAUGUAAAUAGCAAUAAUGAAAUGCAAACCAGAGAUCACGCCGAUUUUAGAGUGGUUCGGUCAAAUGACCUACAUCCACUUGCGAGGCCCCUCUUC
rnacentral:lncRNA from 1 species